rnacentral:rRNA from 1 species
GACGGAGGAUGCAAGUGUUAUCCGGAAUCACUGGGCGUAAAGCGUCUGUAGGUGGUUCGAAAAGUCCACUGUUAAAAAUUGAGGCUUAACCUCAAAGAUGCCGUGGAAACUUUCAAACUAGAGUAUGGUAGGGGUAGAGGGAAUUUCCAGUGGAGCGGUGAAAUGCGUAGAUAUUGGAAAGACCACCGAUGGCGAAGGCACUCUACUGGGCCAUUACUGACACUGAGGGACGAAAGCUAGGGGAGCGAAAGGG